AUUGAACGCUGGCAGCAGGCUUAACACAUGCAAGUCGAGCGGGGUGAUGGUGCUUGCACUAUCACUUAGCGGCGGACGGGUGAGUAAUGCUUAGGAAUCUGCCUAUUAGUGGGGGACAACAUCUCGAAAGGGAUGCUAAUACCGCAUACGUCCUACGGGAGAAAGCAGGGGAUCACUUGUGACCUUGCGCUAAUAGAUGAGCCUAAGUCGGAUUAGCUAGUUGGUGGGGUAAAGGCCUACCAAGGCGACGAUCUGUAGCGGGUCUGAGAGGAGGAUCCGCCACACAGGGACUGGGACACGGCCCAGACUCCUACGGGAGGAAGCAGUGGGGAAUAUUGGACAAUGGGGGGAACCCUGAUCCAGCCAUGCCGCGUGUGUGAAGAAGGCCUUAUUGUUGUAAAGCACUUUAAGCGAGGAGGAGGCUCUUUUGGUUAAUACCCAAGAUGAGUGGACGUUACUCGCAGAAUAAGCACCGGCUAACUCUGUGCCAGCAGCCGCCGUAA
rnacentral:rRNA from 1 species